rnacentral:rRNA from 1 species
GUUGGGGCCUGCUUGAGCCUGGCUCUGGUAAGUUUAAAAGAAGGUGACGGGGAUCGGGGUCGGGGUCGGGUAGAGAAGAGUAGGGGGACGGACAGAGGAGGAGGCGAGGCGAGCGAGGAAGGCGUCUAGGCGCGGUCGCUCCUGGGCCCCUCUCCUUAAGGGGACGGCUACCGCCACUUACCCAGCCGGUUGCCCAGCAGCCCCCGGUUGCCCAGGAGCCCCGGCUGGUCCUGGCACGACCACUGGCCUCCGCGCCCGAUGUAGCCGUCGGUGCGGCACGACGUCGACGAGCGGCGCCCGAAGGCGCGGCAGCAGCAGCUGUCGGAGCUCUUGAGGAGGCUCGAGCGGCAGGCGGCGCAGCGGCGCGAGCGGCCCCUGGUGCGCGCCUUGGAGAGGAAGGUGUUCCAACUAUAGGCACUACUCCUACGUGACCUACGACAAAAACGAAGGUGUUCUAAACUACGACAAUAAGUGAAACGACCUGACUUUCGACAGCCACUCUCACAUGUCUUCGGUAACAAAAUGAUACUGGUAUUGUAACGACCGUGUUAUUUAGAAAACUUUCAGUACCGUCGGGUACUUACGUUCUUCAACCACAAGAGUAGUAGUCGACGUCAAAUACCUAGUGGAUUCUUGAGUGGGACGUGUCUCCUCAAAGGAGAGGAAGGCGUGUUAGGGAUACCGUCUUGGUUCGAAUACCGACUCCUCUAUACGGCACUAUAUAUGGCCAGUCUAAGACUCACCUCCUAGUAAAAUGAAUCCAUGAAGUUGGGCCAACCCCGUGUGGGGUCACCUAUGGAACCACUUCUGGGUGCACCUCAAGGUUUGUUGGAAUACGGGAUGCAAGUCGUUCAACGACAACCCUCCUCCGGCAGUCACUGUUAGAAACCUUUAUUGAUACGUUGAUUUCUACCCUGACCCCAUGCUCUAAUAUAAGUACACGAACUAGAACGACUCCCCGUAUAACGACGUGAUGCCUUCGAAAAACUAUCAAGCAGAUUGUAUCCUACACUUGGUAUGUUGGAACCCUGACCUUUCCCCUGCAGUCACAACCUCUAUCAGUUACGUAAGCUCUUCCGAAGACCUUUCUUUUAGGGCGACCAGUAGCCAGUCGCAGCGGGACCACUACGGCUCUAAGAGAAACGUCCUUGACCGUUUCGUCUCUCUCUUGAGUUGACCUUUCGCUUUAUACCGUAGUGCCUCUACACGUCCCUGGUCACCUUGACCCGAUCGUUCUUGGGAAUGCCCAUGCCCAGUGGGCUGAGCUGGUUCGUCUUGCCAUCGUUAAGUGUGACUUGUUGUGCCUAGCCAGGCACGCCUGAGUGAACAUGUACGUUGAAUCACGGAUGCUCGACCCUAGCCACAUCUAGAUCAGCCGGUCAGUAUGUCUCUUUCAAUGCUCUAAUCUUUUUUUCCAACGAGACAACAAGAAGGCGAUAGCGCACAAUGGGAGGACACAUAUAUAGUCUUUAAACCAGAUGAGACGGCGACCCAAACCCUCGAAACCCCCACACGCCACGGAACACUACCGGAUAACGAAUA